UACGUAGGGGGCAAGCGUUUGUCCGGAUUUAUUGGGCGUAAAGAGCGUGUAGGCGGUCAGGUAGGUCCGUUGUGAAAACUCGAGGCUCAACCUCGGGCCUGCAGCCGAUACGGGCAAGCUAGGAUUCGGUAGGGGAGACUGGAAUUCCUGGUGUAGCGGUGAAAUGCGCAGAUAUCAGGAGGAACACCGGUGGCGAAGGCGGGUCUCUGGGCCGAUAUUGACGCUGAGGAGCGAAAGCGUGGGGAGCGAACAGG
rnacentral:rRNA from 1 species